CCAGUAUACCACCUGUGUGCAGCUGUGUGAACUUCAUUAUUUUCUGGAAAGUUCCGAUGCCUCUUGAAGAUGAAGUUUCCCAUAGAAGACACCUGACUGUGUCCUGUGAAUUUUGGAGCACACUGGAUUCUUUUUAUUGUCUGCAUGUCCAAGAAGACCAUUACCAUUGUAGACCCAUUGGGAAAGGA